rnacentral:tRNA from 1 species
GGGUCCUUAGCUCAGUUGGUAGAGCGCGUCGUUCGCAAUGACGAGGUCAGGGGUUCAAUUCCCCUAGGAUCCAC